rnacentral:lncRNA from 1 species
CCCCAACUGACAGUCUGGAGUUGAGAAGUGAAGCCUGAAGGGGGCAGAUCUGAUCUCUCCUGGAGUCCCUUGGACAUCUUGGAAACAGCCUCUUUGAAUAUCAUCAAGCAAGAGUGAGCAGGAGUUUCCAGCAAUACCCUCUGGUGGACAGAGAGGAAAAUUGGAGGAAAUCAGUCUAUCUUUUGGACUUCUGAGGACUCAGCUGGAUUCCUGUACCUGACUCAUCAAAGGACUCUCUGAGUAUUUCACAAAACCCAAAGUGGGGGAAUAGAAUAAUUUAACCUGAAAAGUAAAAGAGCUCAAGAUGUGACCCAAAGUGACAUACUCUGAAAAUAUGAACAUAAUCAUCAAUGAAAGAAGAUGGACAUUCAAUAAAAGAGAGAUUUGGGCAUAAUCCUUUUUUUAAGAGGCUCCUUAAGAGAACAAUGAAUAGAGUGCUGGAUCUGGAGUCAGGAAGUCAUGAGUUCAAAUUCAAAUUCAGAAACUUACCAGCUAUGUCAUCCUAGGAGAUUGAGUUCAGUGGAGGACUGGAAUCCAGCUUGGAGAAGGUCUCUUGGCGAGAAUUCAGUGUGGUUACAAAGCACUCUGGGGAAGUGGAGUAAGAGCUUGUGGGGAUUGAAGUCCAGAGUUCGAGUCUAUUUUUAUAAAAGUCAAAAUGGAUACAUGAUUUAUAAAUCAAGAAGGAUAUUGUACACAAAUUAAAAGAGCACAAAAUAGUAUCCUUUUCAGACAUAUGGAUAAGGGAAAAAUGUAUAAUUAAAUAAGACAUGGAGAACAUUAUGAGAUAUAAACUAGACAAUUUAGGAGGCAGCUCGAUUGGUCAAUGAAUUGAGGUCCAGGUCUAGAAACAGGAGGUCCUAUGUUCAAAUCUAGAUUUAGACACUUCCUAAUUGUGUGACCCUGAGCAAGUCACUUAACUCCCAUUACCUAGCCCUUGCCAUUCUUCUGCCUUGAAAGUAAUACAAAUAAGAAGGGAAACAACAAACUGGGAAAAUCUUUAUAACAAGUGUCUCUGACAAAGGUCUUGUUUCUCAAACAUAUAAAACUGAG